rnacentral:rRNA from 1 species
AGUGAACGCUGGCGGUAGGCCUAACACAUGCAAGUCGAACGGCAGCACAGUAAGAGCUUGCUCUUACGGGUGGCGAGUGGCGGACGGGUGAGGAAUACAUCGGAAUCUACUUUUUCGUGGGGGAUAACGUAGGGAAACUUACGCUAAUACCGCAUACGACCUACGGGUGAAAGCAGGGGAUCUUCGGACCUUGCGCGAUUGAAUGAGCCGAUGUCGGAUUAGCUAGUUGGCGGGGUAAAGGCCCACCAAGGCGACGAUCCGUAGCUGGUCUGAGAGGAUGAUCAGCCACACUGGAACUGAGACGCGGUCCAGACUCCUACGGGAGGCAGCAGUGGGGAAUAUUGGACAAUGGGCGCAAGCCUGAUCCCGCCAUACCGCGUGGGUGAAGAAGGCCUUCGGGUUGUAAAGCCCUUUUGUUGGGAAAGAAAAGCAGCAGGUUAAUACCCCGCUGUUCUGACGGUACCCAAAGAAUAAGCACCGGCUAACUUCGUG